UUUUAUGGCGGCUGUGUGUGGGAGAUCUUCGGGUCUGCCGGGUGCUAACUCCUCGGUCUGCGAACCCGCACAUGGCUGCCACCCAU
rnacentral:antisense_RNA from 1 species